rnacentral:rRNA from 1 species
GGUUAAGUUAAUAAGGGCGCACGGUGGAUGCCUUGGCACUAGGAGCCGAAGAAGGACGGCACUAACACCGAUAUGCCUCGGGGAGCUGUAAGUGAGCUGUGAUCCGGGGAUUUCCGAAUGGGGAAACCCACUGUUCGUAAUGGAGCAGUAUCCAUGUGUGAAUACAUAACACAUGAGAAGGCAGACUCAGGGAACUGAAACAUCUAAGUACCUGAAGGAAGAGAAAGCAAAUGCGAUUCCCCAAGUAGCGGCGAGCGAAACGGGAUCAGCCCAAACCAGAAGGCUUGCCUUCUGGGGUUGUAGGACACUCUAUACGGAGUUACAAAGGAAUGGAUUAAGCGAAGCGACCUGGAACGGUCCGCAAGACAGGGUAAUAGCCCCGUAGCUGAAAGUUCAUUCCCUCCAGAGUGGAUCCUGAGUACGGCGGAACACGAGAAAUUCCGUCGGAAUCCGGGAGGACCAUCUCCCAAGGCUAAAUACUCCCUAGUGAGAUAGUGAACCAGKACCG